rnacentral:lncRNA from 1 species
AAAAAGAAAAGAAAAACCCUUCGAUUUUAGGGUCUUUGAAAAGGAGUCACCUUUCAUCGAAGGUGACGGCCUUGGCCAUUCACGGCAACGGAACGCGAAUUGUCAGGUACAGUUUUUAAACUUUCCCUUUUUAUUUUAUGUUUUAUUUACAAAAUAAAUUCGUAAGAAAAUAGAAAAAAAUCACCUUUGAAAUUUUCUAUUCUGUUGUUUUUUGAUUGCUUUUUGUGUGUGUAAAAAAAUACAUGAUGGAUCUGGCUUUUAUAGUAGAAUAAUACAUUAGAUCUUGAUUUUUCUAUGUAUUUUCAAUGUUUCUACUGUUUCUUCUACGUUAUUUCUCUGCUGUUGCUGUCAUUUUUCGUUCUUUUUGCAGGUAUCAGCGUGCGGUCAACGGAGAGGAGAGAAGGGUUGCCUUUGCCAUUUUGGUGCAAUGGUGCCAGUGGCGUUAGGCCUCGAGACAAGGUUCCUCGGGCGCGCGAGAGGAGCGGCGGCUAAGGUUUU